rnacentral:rRNA from 1 species
CAGUCGCCGCGGGAAUACGUAGGUGGCAAGCGUUGUCCGGAAUUAUUGGGCGUAAAGGGCUCGCAGGCGGUUUCUUAAGUCUGAUGUGGAAGCCCCCGGCUCAACCGGGGAGGGUCAUUGGAAACUGGGAAACUUGAGUGCAGAAGAGGAGAGUGGAAUUCCACGUGUAGCGGUGAAAUGCGUAGAGAUGUGGAGGAACACCAGUGGCGAAGGCGACUCUCUGGUCUGUAACUGACGCUGAGGAGCGAAAGCGUGGGGAGCGAACAGGAUUAGAUACCCGCGUAGUCCCUGUCUCUUAUAC